ACAAGGUGAAAUCAAAUUGGUAAAUUAAAGGGCCAAAUGCAUCCAUGGGGUAAAAUCACCUAUGAGAUCCUUAAACUAGAAUUAAAGCCUUAUAAAAGUAGGUAUAUUAGAAGUUAAAGAUUCAUUUCAUCCUUUGUGCCCGACCUAGCCUUAAGGAAGACAAGUCAAAGCCUUUGUCUGUCUUAAAGAGGUGAUGUUAAUUU
rnacentral:lncRNA from 1 species